GUGGGGAAUUUUCCGCAAUGGGCGAAAGCCUGACGGAGCAAUGCCGCGUGAAGGAUGAAGGCCUAUGGGUUGUAAACUUCUUUUCUCAGAAAAGAAUUAUGACGGUAUCUGAGGAAUAAGCAUCGGCUAACUCUGUGCCAGCAGCCGCGGUAAGACAGAGGAUGCAAGCGUUAUCCGGAAUGAUUGGGCGUAAAGCGUCUGUAGGUUGUUUAAAAAGUAUUCUGUCAAAGAUUAGGGCUUAACCCUAGAUAGGCAGAAUAAACUUUUAAGCUAGAGUUUGGUAGAGGCAGAGGGAAUUCCCGGUGGAGCGGUGAAAUGCGUAGAUAUCGGGAGGAACACCAAAGGCGAAGGCACUCUGCUGGGCCAAUACUAACACUGAGAGACGAAAGCGAGGGGAGCAAAUGGGAUUAGAUACCCCAGUAGUCC
rnacentral:rRNA from 1 species